rnacentral:tRNA from 1 species
AGUUAAUUACAAGAUGUUAAUAUGUUUUGAAAGCAUAAAUUAGAGGUUAAAUUCCUCUAUUAACUU